ensembl:lncRNA LINC02436 long intergenic non-protein coding RNA 2436
AGAGCACCCAGCAUAACUGUGGGAGAAUAGUAAGCAUUGGACACAAAAUGGUUUAGGCAAAUAAUGAUGAACAAAAAUGGUCAGUCUGUGUUCCUGCUGACCCAGCACAGUGGGGACGCUGUGUAGGACAUGACCUUUGGGGGAAAGGACACAAGAACUCAGCGUGGGGGAUCCAGAAAAGAAGUCGCACGUAUUGAAGCCAGUAACGCCAAGCCAGUGAAUUCUCCUUGACGAGAAAGACCCACUUACUCUGCAGAAGAGAUAUAUGACAGCUGACAAUCCCUGGAGGAGAAUCUUUCUACUAAAUUGUUGAAAACAUUCAAGUACGGAAUAAACUAUUACUGCGAAUACGCUCAUAUGACACAAGAACAAUCUCUGAGCUUCUUUGAGGAUGUCCAGAUGACUGCUGACUGCACUAAUUGCAUCAAUCGUGUAUCCAUACAGGUUCUUUCUAUAAAAUAGUGGUCGCUAGUUAUGAGGCGUUAAGCCUUCAUGGAUAUAAACAGACUAUUCCACCUAAGUGAUCUGGCAGAAGCUUAGUUUUCUACCACAACAUCCACCGUCCUCCCUCCCUCCCUUCCUAGCUGGUCAGAAAAGCUACUCAGAAUAAAGACUACAUUUCCCAGCCAUCUUUGCAGCUAGGUUUAUCCACCUGACUAAAUUCCACCGUAACUCCAGGUUGAAGAACUUCUACUUAUAGGCAUCUAUUCAACGAAGACGAAUCCUGGAAUGGGGAUGGAAAUGAUGGCUCAUGUCUUAGCAAACUACCAAACUGAUCCGAGAGGACAGGGAAGUCAGUGUGGGCGGCUCUAAGGAGCCUCCCUCUCUACAGCUGCGGCUCAGAGGAUUACGGCGCUUCAUCCACAAGGCAACAUUGCACAAGUAGCUUUUGAACAAAAGUCAUGGAUACUAUUAAUGAUAUGUUCCCACACACAUUUAGUGUCGUCUCAAAAUUCACGCUGUCAACUGUCUCUAGGAAUCAUUUCCAUCUGAGAACAGACCACACAAAGACACAGUGAAACUCAGUUUCUGCAGAAUUUGAUUUCAUUUGAGUUACUGGGGAACAAAGCAAUUAGACAAUGAAUAAUAGCUCAAGACAGGCUGAAGCUGAAGAUUUCUGCAAAAGAAUGAAGAGGAAACGUUUUGAUCCUGAGCAGAUGUUCUCCCUAGAUUGCUUCACCUGAGGUUGAUUGACUUUUGGAAACGAGAUUUGUUCCCAGUGCUUUGUGAGUCUCUUGUUGGAAGGACUGUCUUUAAAUUAAAGCAAUUAGAGUUACUUUAUAAGAUUUACCCAAAUAUAAGAGCUGAAGAGAAUAAUUCAAAUUGAUCAGAAGAAAAUACUCAAUUACUGACAAAUGUCAAUUACAUCAAUAGCCUAGGCUGCUCUUGAACUCCUGGGCUCAAACGAUCCUCCCCUGUCGGCCUCCCAAAGUGCUGGGAUUACAAGCUUGAACCACCAUGCCCAGCCUCAGAAAUUUUUUAAAUGACAGCUCAUACAGUUUUCUUUUAUAAAGGAGGAGAAAAUGUGUAAUUGUAAGCAGCUGAACUAAAAUAUCUCUGUGACAUUUUGCUGGUGACUCCAGCCCUGUGAGAUCUGAGUGGCUCAGGAAUCAAAUUCUCCCACAAACCUGAGGAAGCCUUUUAUUCUUAAUGCCAACAGGAUGCCCCAUGCCCAGAAUGUCAAAUCUGAACACCAAUGGAAUGCAUUUUAUAAACAAAUUGAAAAAGGACAAUCUUUAACAGAAUUGUUGUUCUCUAGGCAGAUUAGUUGUGCUUCAAAUACAAAAUGAAAUAUUAGAGAACAAAAUUAUUUUUAAACAGCUAAUACUAGUAGAAAAUAAAAGGCUGAAAAGUGCUAUAA